rnacentral:rRNA from 1 species
GAUGAACGCUGGCGGCGUGCCUAAUACAUGCAAGUCGAGCGAACAGACGAGGAGCUUGCUCCUCUGACGUUAGCGGCGGACGGGUGAGUAACACGUGGAUAACCUACCUAUAAGACUGGGAUAACUUCGGGAAACCGGAGCUAAUACCGGAUAAUAUAUUGAACCGCAUGGUUCAAUAGUGAAAGACGGUUUUGCUGUCACUUAUAGAUGGAUCCGCGCCGCAUUAGCUAGUUGGUAAGGUAACGGCUUACCAAGGCAACGAUGCGUAGCCGACGUGAGAGAGUGAUCGGCCACCCUGGAACUGAGACACGGUCCAGACGCCUACGGGAGGCAGCAGUAGGGAAUCUUCCGCAAUGGGCGAAAGCCUGACGGAGCAACGCCGCGUGAGUGAUGAAGGUCUUCGGAUCGUAAAACUCUGUUAUUAGGGAAGAACAAAUGUGUAAGUAACUAUGCACGUCUUGACGGUACCUAAUCAGAAAGCCACGGCUAACUACGUG